UCCCAGAUGGCUCAAACGGUAAAGAAUCUGCCUGCAAUGCAGGAGACCUGGGUUUGAUCCCUGGGUUGGGAA
rnacentral:tRNA from 1 species